rnacentral:piRNA from 1 species
UUCUUCUAUGAUUCCACAAAC